rnacentral:lncRNA from 1 species
UAUCAAUACUUUAUUUUUUCCUCCAGCUCCAGUGAUACAACUGUAGCAGCAUUUUGAGAAACAAAACAUCCCACACACCAAUGCACACUCCUUCCCCCCGCCCCCCAAUCUGCCCCAUUCCUUCUUCAAACAGCAGAUUUAACAAUCAGAAAAGAGGGUCGGACAAUAUUUGAUACAAACUACAGGCAGCCAUCACAAUGUUUUAAUUUUUAAACAAUACUCUUGCUCCCUUAAAAAAAAAUUACAUUUUGUGUUCUUGCACUUCAGAAGCAGCAAACACAUUUGGAUUUCACAGGCCAAACAGAAUCCAAGUCAUGCUUUCCCCUCACCCCCAGUCAAACACAGUGGUCCCGGGCAGGACGGGCAGCCUCCCAGAGGGAAAGCUGGACCCGUGUGGUUUCUAGCAUUGUACGAUGAAAGUGAGAGAUUGAAAAGCGGGCAAGUUAGCCGGCAGUUAAGUUGGAAUUGGGGUAAGCGGGGAGGAAGAAUCAAGUUCUGAAGGUUUAUCCUGUCCAUUGCAAUUGAUUUUAGGAAGGUAGAACCCUGGACUUCGCUCCUUCAAACCAGAAAUCAAGGCACAGGACAACAGAUUUUGCCGAGCAUAAGCCCAGGGCCCUCUGUGCUCUUCAAGGUUAAGUGAUGGACUUCAGGCCCCAAGAGAAGACAAGAUUUCAUUUCUGGCUUGGAAUUCCCGCAUCCAGUAGGCACUUUAGCUGCUUAAUGAAUCAAGGCAAAGUAAGGUGAGCUCGGGACCUGAAAAGCAAGUCCCUUCCCUAAAGAGCCUCGCCUAGACAAGCGGGCAUUCCAGUUUGUAAAUACCACUUGAGGCGAAAGUUUGAGGAGGGAUAGGAAACAGCUGGAAGGUAGAGGAAGACAAGGGGAAAGGAGGAGGAGGAGGAGGAGAAACUAUUUUAGAAAAUAAAUUAAUCCUGGCUCUAGAUUGUGCAGAUUCUACCCUUCCGCUGCCCACUUCCCCCAUGCCCGUGAUGCCCAACAUGGCAUGGGCGAAACACGCCUGGUACAACCCGUCUGAUGGCCCAGCCCACGUGAGCUCUGCCAAGGCUGGCACAAGUUAUCUGGAUCUAACAACAAGGUCACACAGAUUGGUCUGAGGGCCCUCUCCCACCUCCAUAAAUGAAUGAAUUCCAGACAGAUCUAACUGGUUGGCUUCAGAGGAAAAGCCCCUGGCAUCACCAAGCCAAGAUUGCCAUCCCUUGCCUGAAGCCUACUCACACCUCCCUGGCGCUGUUUCUCAAAAAGCCCUAAAAAUCAGCCCCACUUCCAGGUCAGAACUCAGAGGCACCCUGGCCAAGGACAAGUGACUGGUGGCCAUCUCUGGGGCCCUUUCAGAGUCUCUGCCAGGAGAAAUGCCCAGUGCCUGAGACUUACAGGCGCUUGGGCAAGGAGAAGAGGGGCAAAUUAGUCUUUUCAGGUCUGGCAGCUAGCAACGGGUUGGAAAAAAACAGGUUUGUAUUUUUUUUUUUAAGGAGAUUGUCAUUCAAGACACACUACAAAACUUAGAAGGGCUCUAUCUAAGUCAUUUGUAAUCUAAGUGCUAAAAAACCAUCUCAAAGAUCUUGUCCCUCUCUGAAACUCAAAUUCUUCCUCAUCAUCUAUGAAGCUGAUCCCCCCAAAUACACACACACACACACACACACACACAGAGGACACAGACAUGCUUUUCUGGCACCUCCUCCUAGGCAUGGAAGAGCAGAGAUGAGCUUUAGCAAGGUGGUUCUCAUCCCUCCUCACAGCGGCUGAAGGAUCAAGACCCUAAGAAUUACCACAGGGAAAAUGAUCUGAAAAUGAAGGGUCGGGGAGAGAACAAGAAGCUGCUCUGCCCAUGUGCCCCACAGCCACACCUCUGUACUAGAAACAAUCCACCUCAGCCGGU